rnacentral:rRNA from 1 species
CCUACGGGUGGCAGCAGUGAGGAAUAUUCGACAAUGGACGCAAGCCUGAACCAGCCACGCCGCGUGCAGGAAGACGGCUCUCUGAGCUGUAAACUGCUUUUGUACGAGGGUAAACGCAGAUACGCGUAUCUGUCUGAAAGUAUCGUACGAAUAAGGAUCGGCUAACUACGCUCCAGCAGCCGCGGUAAUACGGAGGAUUCAAGCGUUAUCCGGAUUUAUUGGGUGUAAAGGGUGCGUAGGCGGUCGGAUAAGUUAGAUGUGAAAUCCCGAGGCUCAACUUCGGAAGUGCAUCUGAUACGGUGCGGCUAGAGAGUAGAUGCGGUAAGCGGAAUGUAUGGUGUAGCGGUGGAAUGCUUAGAGAUCAGACAGAACACCGAUUGCGAAGGCAGCUUACCAAGCUACUUCUGACGUUGAGGCACGAAAGCAUGGGGAGCAAACAGGAUUAGAUACCCUGGUAGUC